rnacentral:rRNA from 1 species
ACGGGAGGCAGCAGUGGGGAAUAUUGGGCAAUGGGCGCAAGCCUGACCCAGCAACGCCGCGUGAAGGAAGAAGGUCUUCGGAUUGUAAACUUUUGUUGUCAGCGAAGAAAAAGGACAGUAACUGACGAGGAAGCCCCGGCUAACUACGUGCCAGCAGCCGCGGUAAUACGUAGGGGGCAAGCGUUGUCCGGAAUUACUGGGCGUAAAGGGCGCGUAGGCGGCAUAUUAAGUCAGAUGUGAAAUCCCCGGGCUUAACCCGGGUGUUGCAUUUGAAACUGAUAAGCUUGAGUGCAGGAGAGGAAAGUGGAAUUCCUAGUGUAGCGGUGAAAUGCGUAGAUAUUAGGAGGAACACCAGUGGCGAAGGCGGCUUACUGGACUGUAACUGACGUUGAGGCUCGAAAGCGUGGGGAGCAAACAGGAUUAGAUACCCUGGUA